AAUUAGGCUUCUUUAGAAGCCACUUCCUAUUGAAACCGCUUUUUUU
rfam:Legionella feeleii strain WO-44C Lfee_ctg080, whole genome shotgun sequence.